rnacentral:rRNA from 1 species
UACGUACGAGGCUAGCGUUAUCCGGAAUUACUGGGCGUAAAGCGCGCGCAGGGGGUGCGUUAAGUAGGGCGUGAAAUCUCCCGGCCUAACUGGGAGGGGUCGCCCUAGACUGGCGGACUUGAGGACUGCAGAGGUGGGUGGAAUUCCGGGUGUAGCGGCGGAAUGCGUAGAGAUCCGGAAGAACACCAGUGGCGAAGGCGGCCCGCUGGGCAGUGGCUGACGCUGAGGCGCGACAGCGUGGGGAGCAAACAGG